AGUGAACGCUGGCGGCGUGCCUAAUACAUGCAAGUCGAACGGAGUGGCGCACGGGUGAGUAAUGUAUAGCUAAUCUGCCCUACACUAGAGGACAACAGUUGGAAACGACUGCUAAUACUCUAUAGUGUAGGAUGAGGCUAUAUUGUAUCAGCUAGUUGGUGAGGUAAUGGCUCACUAAGGCUAUGACGCAUAACUGGUCUGAGAGGAUGAGCAGUAACACUGGAACGGAGACACGGUCGAGACUCAUACGGGAGGGAGCAGUAGGGAAUAGUGCGCAAUGGGCGAAUCCCUGAAGCAGCAACGCCGCGUGGAGGAUGACACUUUUCGGAGCGUAAACUCCUGUUGAUAGGGAAGCGGUACCUAAAGAAUAAGCACCGGCUAACUCCGUGCCAGCAGCCGCGGUAAUUC
rnacentral:rRNA from 1 species